rnacentral:lncRNA from 1 species
AAGGAACGGUGACCACAAGGCUAGGUCCAGUGUGAGUUUGGGCUUGUCUACUGAGCGAUCCUAUGACAUCUCUGUUGAUAACAGUCAGACCUGCCAGGCUUACUGGGAACUCAAGUGCCCGGCGUGUGUGAUAUAUCUGCCAUGAUCCCUUUGUAAGAGUCACUUGCAUUUCAGACAGAGAAACACGCUCAGAGCUGGGUAUCAGUUGGUGAGGCACUGGCAUUCCACAGUCAGUUGAGUUAAUCCCUUGCAGAGGUCCCGGAGAUAUUUCCACUGCUGCUGUCUUCUCUUCUAAACUGGUCAUCCGAAUAUGAUAAAUUCGAGUUUUACUGCUAAGAUUAGCUAUUCCGUCAGCCCUCGCCCUGUGAAGCGAGGUGGUUUUGAACAUGCACAUUAAAGAAGUGAAAGGAAGGCAAGUCUGGCUGUAUCAUCUAAAAUGUGAUUGCCUCCGUGGGUAAGUCAAGAGGCUUCCUUUGAACAGGAAACGUGGAUGUCUUCACAAAGCCUACAUGAAGUGCAAAGACAGAGGAAGCCUCCAGACUGUGCAGUAGAUUUCCCAGGCCUCGCCACUGAAGCUCAGCUGACCGAGGACUCAAGAUCACAGAAGACUUUUCCCAGAAUCAUUGGCUGUUCCUGUAUUCUUGGUUGGCUUGCUCCGGAGAAGCAAGCUCAGUCUCAGGUCCUCCUGGCCCAGGAGAGUGAAGUGAAGGGGGAUGCCCUGGAGGCAGAAAGGUCCUGGUAUGAGAUAACUGGGGCCAAAAGCAACAAAGGAAAUAAUUGAACAUCGACAAGGCUGUUUUCCUUAGAAGAUUCAGACUUUGGGGAGUCUAGUUCUAAGUUCCAGGACCAUGGACUGAACCCUCAUUACAGCAUUCAGAUCAAGUCUGUGGCCUGGAUCACCUGUAGGAAAGGUGCCCACAUGCCCACCUUAAACUUGUACAAACGUGAAGGCUUCACGGUGAAAGAUCCAAAAGGGCAAGCCUCUAACUUGGGAAGAGCUUUUAUUAUGUUUUCAGUGACACUCUAAAGUACAAAUUGUUUAAACCAAAUUUCUUUCAUCCGUUUUAUAG